AUACUUACCUGGCAAGGGAGAUGGCAUGAUCUCAAAGGAGUUCAAAGGCUGAGGCUUAUCUGUUGCAGUCCAAUAUGCUGAUCCCUGUGAUUUCCCCAAAGAUGGGAACUCAAAGGCAAC
ensembl:snRNA Rnu1-98 RNA, U1 small nuclear 98